UUCGCCUUUUGUCAUUUGGAUUUCGGAACGCGCCGUUGAGACAGCGUGGCUUUGUAGAGUUGUGCCUCCGCCAGCCUCGGUUGGCCAGCAGCAGAGUCCUCUUGCACGUCGCUCGCCCUCCCCGUGAACUUGACAUUGCUUUUGUUAUGAUUCGUGACGGAAUUGUGUGAAAAAAAAAGCAGAUAACUUUCUUCUGUGUAUUCUUCGUUGUUUUCUGCUACUUUUAUUUUUGUUUCGUAGUUUGUUUAUUUUGCCGUCCCGGCGCGAAGUGUCGAAACUUUUCACCUUUCGCCCCAAAACGGACUACAAAUUCUAUUUUGAACUGAUGUGACGGUUCUUCGUUUCGGCAGAUGGGUUCACCUUAAAGAUCGUGUGGUUUAUAUUUCAAAUCAUUCUGAUGUAUGAUGCAGCUACACUUAAAAAGAAAUUCAAGUCAUCCAUAAAGAAAUUGCGCCGAAUUUAGCAGUGUCAUUAUUCCCAGUAAUUGAAAAGUUGGAAUCUAUUUCCAAAAAACUCAAGACAUACGCCUGUGAGAACAUUAGCUAACAAACUUCAAGGAAGCUGAGACUCACUGACAUAAACAAAGGAUUCGCUUCACGGAUAAGGUAAACCGAAAAAAGAGGCCGACUUCUUUUCUCUGUCGCAUCGCAUUCCUGAAGAGACAGCCACAGUGCCUCUGGGAACCAUUCGUCUCUAUUACGAGUUCAUUUCAUAGAUGAACAGCCAGUGACCGCCGCUAACACCGGGGAGAGAAGAUUCUGCUCAAUUGAUUUACUGCAUCGCUCUUUCUGAAAUUAAUGGCAAGCUUAACUAAUGCGUAAAAGCAUCUUCUGACCUACCUGGGCUGCAAAUGAGCCAGAAAUGGUCGCUGCACACUCCAAAGGAAUGUGACGGCCACUUAGUCCAGUUGACAGAUGUCUGUGGAAGAAUCCAUGUUCGAAAACCCGGGGGAAGAGGAACCAAGCGGUUAAAUCCCCGUAGAGCACAAUCGGGUUCCAGAGUAUUAUUUGUCUUCUUCAAGCUUUUGUGAGAGGAUACUUCAACUUGGGGAUUAAGUUGGAAGCGGAAGAUUGUCGGAGGAAGGAAAAAGAUCGCUUCUUCUUCGAAGUUGUUUCCCAGCGAUUAGCGCUCUUUUUUUAUUUAUUAUUUUACUUCGUUUUAAAAGAAUAGAACAAGUUUUGUUCGAAAUAACUGGUUUUGUUCUGAAAUCUAUUACAAGAAGGGUUUAAAAAAAACACUUUAGAUUUGUACACACGAAACUGGUACGAAGAAUUCUGUUUGUGAUUUUAUAUUUAUUUCUCCUGGAAAGGGGGAAAAAUGAUUUUUUCAUCCUGGAAAUGAUACUGGACGAUUGCUUGACUUUAAGUGAACACAUUGGCGACAGUCCAUGGAACAAUUACAUAAAUGUGUUAAUGUAAACGCUUUUAUAUUUUCAUAGUAGCGUCCAAUUACGUGCCAGAAAGUUUACUGAGAGAUUUGAUACUGUAAUACUUUUAUUGUGAUAUAAAUAUAUUGCAUGUUCUCGUACUGAAAUAGUUUAGAAUUAUCUCCAGAUUCUAAGUGAAAGAUUAUCUUCCAUUCAAUAGAUUUGUAUAAAUAGCAUUUACUGUUGUUGCAUCCAGUCCUGCGAAUUCUAUUUUAGAGUUUAUCUGCAAACCAAUAUAUUCUAACUUUUCAACAUAUCAUUUUCGAAAGCGAUGAUGGACCAACUGAAGCUCGUUGUUGUGUUUCUAAUAAUUCUUGUGCACUCCAAGCAUGCCUAUGUUAUGAAUUAUGCAGCACCCAGUGACUGCCAAUGGACUACGAUGAAGAGUCAUCAAAUAGAACCUGGCGUUCUGCUAACUUGUCAUGUGAGUGGAGUCGGUACGCAGAUGGACAGUACGAACUUUAGCCUUAUACAGUCCUUGCAUACUGUUGGACUGACCAUUAUCUGUGAUGAUCGUUACGUAGAAGGACGCCUUACAAACAGUUCCUUAGCGCAUCUCAAGCAUUUACAGUCAUUGAGGUUUGAACGAUGUUCUUUUUCCGAAUUAGCAGAUAAUGCACUCCUUGGGUUGAUAGCGCUCAAGAACCUCACGAUCCACACUGGUAAAUAUGAAGACAAUAGAUCCAUCUUUAGUAUUGGACCAACUAGCUUGAUGAAAGUCCGGGAGCUGGAAUAUCUGGAUCUCGCUAAUAACAAUAUCGUCUCUCUUCCCGAAUACGCAUUCUGUGGCCUUAUCAACCUAAAACAGUUGAAUCUCAGUUAUAAUGGCUUACAAGACGUCAAGCAUCUUGGAUUAGAAGAGCGCAAACUUUUCCCCUGCAUUCCGGAACUUCAAAUGCUUGAUCUAUCACAUAACAGAUUGAAAUAUUUGACAGAUGAAAUUCUGUCAUCUCUUAGAAGGCUGAAGAAUCUAUCUCUCAGCGACAAUCACAUAUCUCAGAUGUCACCGUACGCUUUGAUUGGUUUGCAGAGGCUCCAGUUUAUUGAUCUGUCCAAUAAUAAGUUAAGUGAAUUCCAUCCACAUUUUUUCCACCAUUCUACUGAACUGCGAGAAAUAUUACUUCGUAAUAAUUCUGUUGCUGGUUUUCCUUCGGCCCUUUUCAGAUCUUUAUCCCAACUUAUUCAUUUGGAUGUGUCCCACAACAUAAUAUUUGACUUGCAUUUUCUUUUAGAUUCCUUCAAAAAUCCCAAUCGAUUAAAAAUCUUGAAUUUGAGUUACAAUAAAAUUAGACGAAUCGAAGGCAUGCCGUUCCAGUCCUUAAUUAACUUACAGGUUCUGGAUCUGAGAGAUAAUAUCAUUGAAUAUAUAGCUGAGAAAGCAUUUUCUCACUUAACUAGUCUUAAGAUUCUGGAUUUAACCAAUAACAAAUUAAGGUUGAUCGAAGCUGAUACAUUCAAUGGCCUUCUAAAUCUUCAAGAACUGUGGCUUUCUAGUAACCACAUGGAACUGAUACAUUCAGAUGCAUUCAUGAAUUUGACUCGACUCCAGUAUUUGAGUUUAAAAAACAAUAGUUUAACAUCUUUUCCAAUAGCCAUCAAUAAAAUGGAAUACCUCUUAGAUCUAGAUUUGUCUUAUAAUUCCAUUUCGAACAUAACGAAUGAUACCUUUGAGAAUCUGAAAAGCCUCGUAACGCUGGAUUUGAAGUACAAUUUUAUCGGAAAUUUAAGCCGUGGUACCUUGAGAGAUCAGUACUCCCUGAAGAUUCUGGAUCUUUCGAGAAAUCGUAUACAGUCGUUAGAACAUGGGAUAUUUGAUGAUGCUAUAGAAUUGGAACGAAUUGAACUAAAUGAUAAUCUGUUGUCUGACAUAAAUGGGUUGUUUAUGAAUUUGCAAAAUCUCAAGUCACUGAAUGUUUCUCGAAAUAACAUAACAUGGUUUGACUAUGCACUUAUCCCAACGGGACUUAUUCACUUAGAUAUGCAUUCAAAUCGUAUUGACAGUUUAGGCAACUAUUUCGAAUUAGAAUCUAUUUUGAAAUUAAAGUUUAUGGAUGCAUCUUUCAAUAGAAUUCAAGAGAUAAAUCCUGCGACUUUCCCGUAUGGAAUUGAAAUAGCAUCUCUUCGCAACAAUUCUCUCAAAAUAAUUAACUCAUUUACAUUCAUGAGUAAGACGAAUUUGACUUUGAUGGAUCUGCGCAACAAUGACAUUCAAAACUUAGAUAUCAAUGCCUUACGAUUAAGAAGUGUACCAAUAACAAGAAACCUUCCUAUUUUCUAUUUGUCUGAAAACCCCCUUCAUUGCGAUUGUACAAUGGAAUGGUUACAGAGGAUCAAUAAUUUAGAUGACAUGCGCCAGUAUCCACAAAUCGCUGAUUUAGACCAAGUGCUGUGCCACAUGACAUUUCCUAGACAGCAUGCUUUGGUACCCAUAACUCGAGCCAAAUCCAAUGAAUUCUUGUGCAGAUAUAGAAGUCACUGUUUUGCCCUCUGUCAUUGCUGUGAGUUUGAUGCCUGUGACUGUGAAAUGGUGUGCCCAGAGAAUUGUACUUGCUAUUCUGACCAAACAUGGAAUACCAAUAUUGUGGACUGCAGCUCCAGUCGCUACACGCGUACACCAGCUCGCAUACCAAUGGAUGUAACAGAUUUGUAUUUAGAUGGCAAUGAUAUGAGUCAAGUUGGCAGCCAUUCGUUUAUUGGACGAAAGAAUAUGAGAAUACUUCAUAUGAAUGGCAGUAACAUACAUGUCAUUCGAAAUAGAACCUUCAAUGGGUUGAUCAACUUGUUAAAGUUGCAUCUGGAACACAACUACAUAUCUACAAUUCAUGGUUAUGAAUUUACAAAUCUCACAAACUUGCAGGAAUUGUAUUUAUCCUAUAACCGCUUGACUUCUAUAAAUAAUUCCAGUUUCACCCAUCUGAAAUUUCUUAGAGUUAUAGCUCUGGAUCAUAAUAAUCUGAUAGACUUCCACGUUUGGAAUUUGAAUUAUAAUCGCCGUCUGUCUGUGGUUCGCUUAGGUCAUAAUAGUUGGACCUGUUCAUGCGAUUAUUUGGGAAGCUUCCAGGAUUGGCUUUUGGCUGCUGGAGCAUUCGUUGUGGAUCGAGAAGAUGUACGAUGUUAUAAAAAUCAAUCAGCUGGACCCUACGUAUUAGAAUUCAAUUCCACUGCUUGUUCUAAUCACAGUGCUCUGACCUAUUACAAAGAUGAAUUUGCUGGAGAUUAUGUGCCUGUGAUGAUAUUGGCUCCAUGCUUAUUUAUUCUUUUAAUUUUAAGUUUGGUUUUGUUCUGCAUUUAUAACACCGAGAUGAAGAUCUGGUUUUACAGUCGCUAUGGCAUUCGCCUGUUUCAGCGCAACAAUUAUCCUACUGAAGCAGAAAAGCUAUUCGAUGCUUUCUUGUCAUAUUGCAAAAAGGAUGAGGCUUUCGUAUCUCAGAUGCUUGCUCCUGAAUUAGAAGAUGGAACCUAUCCUCACAGGCUGUGCCUCAGAUACAGAGAUCUUCCAAUGGCCGAAUAUGUCGCUGAAGCUAUUUCCGAAGCCAUUGAAUGCAGUCGAUGCACUGUAGCUGUAAUAUCCGAGCAAUAUUUGAAAAGUGAAUGGUGCAUCUAUGAGUUGAAGGCUGCUCACCACGAGAGCCAAAUUAACCGGCGCCACCGUGUCAUUGUGGUUCUUCUGGACAAAAUAAGCUUCAAGGACCUCGAUUCAGAUGUCCGGCUAUGCUUGAGGUCGGCGUCUGUCGUCCACUGGGGAGAUCGGAGGUUCUGGGAGAAGCUUCGGUUUGCCAUGCCUGAAGCCAGACUUCACAAGGAUAGUGUCAAUUGCAAAGACUUUAAGACGUCUUCACUAAGGAGAUCUUCCAUAACAAACUCUGUGAAGCUCGUGUGAUGAGAAGGGACCAUUUGGGUUCAUCUUUAUGAUCUGUCUGUGAUAUACAUAAUAUAAAAAGAACUGACCAGGUUUCAUUCUUGGAAAAUGAGAUUGGAUUUUCCUCCAUUUGUGUACUCGUGGCUAUCACAGCUGGACUAGCCGCGCCUUUCUGUUUUGCAUUCUGAAACUUUUUGUUCCUUCUGCAGACCUCUAUGGAUGUCAACCCUGAGCCACAGGCCGUGUGAAAACUUGUAUUCGACAUAGUAUAUUAUCGGUAAAAUACAACAUGCAUAGAGAAAAUCUAUAGACUAUUUAUCAUAGGAACUGUCUGUGUAUUAUAAAAGUGCGUAUUAUGAGACUUUUGUUUUAUAUACAAAAUAUGAUCAAUAAAA